UACGAAGGGUGCAAGCGUUACUCGGAAUUACUGGGCGUAAAGCGUGCGUAGGUGGUUCGUUAAGUCUGAUGUGAAAGCCCUGGGCUCAACCUGGGAAUGGCAUUGGAAACUGGCGACCUAGAGUGCGGUAGAGGGUAGUGGAAUUCCCGGUGUAGCAGUGAAAUGCGUAGAGAUCGGGAGGAACAUCCGUGGCGAAGGCGACUACCUGGACCAGCACUGACACUGAGGCACGAAAGCGUGGGAGCAAACAGGG
rnacentral:rRNA from 1 species